rnacentral:lncRNA from 1 species
GGAAAAUAGAACAUCAAGACCUCUCAACGAAGUCUUGUUUUUGAGAAAAUAAAACAUCAAAACCUCUCAAAGAAGUCUUGUUUUUGGGAAAAUAGAGACUUUUAUAUAUAGAAGAAGAACAUCAACACCAAGUCUCAAAGAGGUUGAUUUUUUUUUUUUUUUUUUUUAAUGUCUUUCUAAUUAGGAUUUUGGUAAUAGGGGAGAGUAUGGUUAAAGAGAAGAUCAGAGACAUGGAAGCUACAGAAGAGGGAUUAGAGGUUUAUGAUGUUGAUGUGUUAGAUUACCAAAGCAUACUCUGUUUCCGUUAACAACUGUAACGU